GUUUGACCUGAUUUUGUCUAUGAGUAACUACCAUCGCAUAGCUGUCUCAUAUGAAUAGGAAACCCAGCAAAUAUGGGACUGAUAUGCAAUCAUAGGCAGAAUAAGUCUGUAAGUAAAAUUUAAAUUAAUCUGCAGAUGGGGAAAUGGCCAAAUCUGUGAACCAUCGAAGAAAGUUUUUAUUAUGCAGCAGCAACAGGAAGGUUCCCGAAAAGCAAGAACCCAUAAUAGUCACACGUGUUUUUCUUGUCCCUGACAAAAAGAACUUUUGGAUAUGCGUUUUGCAUUGAAUUCUCGGUUCGCUUCAGGGCCAUCGGCUCAUAAAAUGAAUCAGUAUGCAUUUUGUUGUCCCAUGUGGUGCGCCUUCGGGAACGGGAAACCCGAUCUACCCGACGAAGAAGAAUGGUUUGUGUCGCGACGACCAGUCAGUGUUGUGCGCGAUGUCAGUGGGUAAAGAACACAUCGAUUGUGAGUUGUGAUCGGUUUAUUCAAACUUUUUUUUUCAAGUAGAGAACAUUAAAUAGUAUGAUUCUAAAUCGGGAGUCCAGUGAAUAAUCAGUACAAAAGUUGUGUUUGUCUGUACGAAAAUAUUGUUGAUUUAUGGGUUUAAUAGUGCGCCGUGGUAGUUCAACAGUUAAAGCAAUGUGAUAAGAAAUUUGGGAUGUCAUUGUUCAUAACAUCAUGAUGUGUUAUGUGAUACGUGAUCCUAAAAGAAUGGGAAUAUAAUGUGUGAAUGCUGCAAAAUAUCGUCUAGGUAGAUAAAUGGCCAAAGACUUCGUCCGGGUUACCUAGCACCGCUGGAACCACCGCUAGUAUAGCGUUCAUCCGGCGGGGGAAAAUUUACAUUGGCCACGUUGGCGACUCCGGGAUCGUUCUGGGGUACCAGAAGGACAAAGAGUCCCACUCGGGGGGAGAUGCCUGCACGUGGAACUCCAUGCCCUUGACGGAGGAUCACAAACCGGAAGCGUACGCUGAGAAGAUGCGUAUAAUGAGCUGCGGAGGGAAGGUGGUCACCAAGUCCGGUGUUCCACGGGUAGUUUGGAACCGGCCGCGAAUCAGUCACAAGGGCCCGGUGCGGAGAAGCACUCCCAUAGACGAGAUUCCGUUCCUAGCGGUGGCGCGCAGCUUGGGUGACCUGUGGAGCUACAAUUCCGCGGUGGAUGAGUUCAUCGUUAGUCCCAAUCCGGAUGUGUCCGUCAUCGAAAUCGACCCCAAGAGAUAUCGGUGUUUGAUAUUUGGAACAGAUGGUUUAUGGAAUGUCCUAUCGGCGAAACACGCAGUGGAGAUUGUGCACGCUGCCGAGAUGGAAAAUAUACGCAUUGCGCUGGAAGGUGGAUGCGAUUGGAAAAAUCCCAGCAAAUUAUUAGUAAAUGAAGCCUUAGAGAGAUGGAGCAAGAUAAAUAUGAAGGCGGACAAUACAUCGGUGGUGAUAAUAAUGUUGGACCCUCCGGGCCCUCCCAAACGCGAUGUGCUUCGUUCGAUGAGAACGUCGAUUCAGCACAUUGAUCAUCAGCUGACUAACACCCAAUCGUUGGACAAGUUGAACGUCACUUUGUAUGAUCAUACGACGCGAGAGUUGGUUGAUCUGUCUCAAGUUACCUGUCCAGAAGUUGAGCAAAGCAAUGUACAUCAACAACAGUACAUAGAUUCGGCACCGUCCACUUCUUCUUAUCAGCAGGACAUGAUUUACACGGAUAGUUUUGCCGAAUCCUACAACAGCUUUUUGAACACCAGCCUCAGCAAUGACCAUUCGUAUACAAAUUAUACGCCAACGGCUCAACAUUAUUCUCUUCAGCAUCAUCAUCACCAUCAGCAUUCUCAACACGAAGGCCUUCAGUAUGAUGCAGUCGGCGAAGCACACGAUCGUAAUCCGCACGAAGAUACCUAUUCCCUGACCAACCUGCAAACCAAAUCGGAACGACUGCAGUCAGAAAUGAUUAAAGCAUCUACCUCAGCUGGGUCCGUAUCAACUCGGUACUCGCAAAUGGAGUGCACUGGGAAUUUGGCCAUAAUCGAGAACUUUCAUGAUUAUCAGUUACCGCACCUACCGAAUCACUCCACUAUGCAGCAGCAACCCUUCGGUACAAAUUAUUCCGUUCAUGGAUACCAACCGCAACACCAUCAACAUCAACACGAUCCCCCAGCAUAUCCAAUGGAACGCUACGAUUAUCACCACCCGGCUGCUCAACAGCAUGAACCCGUUAACUGCCAUUACGGAAGUCAGCAUUACACGGCGCAUGAUUUGUCGGAGCACAACUACCAGAAAGAUUCCGUGGAAUAUCUAUAUCCAGAUGAUGAACCUGGUCCUAGUACCAGUCAGCAAGUCCAUAAACCGGAAAAUCCCAUCGCAUGUUUAGUUGAGUCUACGAUAGAAAGUAGCUUGGCGGAUACCGAAACUAGUGAUGAUGAGCGGAUACCUGUGAUAAUCGGAUCCAAGAGCGAGGAGGAGGAUAUACAGAUUAACGAGAUAUCGUCCUCUAAUUUGGGUGCCCUUUCGCCUGCUCAGGACACUUCCAUUCAAUCGGACAGCGAUAGCUGUGCUAGCGAAGACGAGGCGAAAGCCUCUUCAUCAGUCUACGUGGCAAGGACGAGAUCAUCGUGUCCGAUUGAGUCGCCCAGAGGUAAACGAGUAGUGCCUGCGCAGGGUAAGUUACGUAAAACUAUGAAAAAUAUUGUAAAGAUCGUUUACGAGACGCGGCGGAGCAGUCAACGGCCGCACCGGACCCGGGGGCCUUCAGAGAGUGUCCCCCGUGUGGUGGCAAAGAGUAAAACGGUUCGCACCACCAAAUUUGGCAACAUUUUACCAAAAAGCUCCAAGGUGAAACAAUUCCUUAGUUUUAAGAACAGCAAAACGUAUAGUUUAUUAGAUGCCAACAGUACUAGUAGUAGUAGUAGUAUAGCCAGCAAUAUUAACAACAAUAACAAUACUUUCGAAGUUAGGAAUGAGAAGGCAGCAAGUGUAGUGGAGAAACCCGAGGAGAGGCGGGUUUUGCGUUCAGCAGAUCAAAUGAAAGCAAUCGGAGCUCGAAAGUGUUCCUUCCAAAGAACCCGCCGGUCAGAUGCAUCCGUUCUUAGUCGUACCACUAGCCCUAAAUCGAAGCAAACUAUAGCACUUCCCAAGCGAAAGAUGCUGCUACGAAAGGUUACACUGGAUGCUAAACGGCCCAAGCGCCGUUAGUAUUCAAUAUGGCACAAUUCCGAUGUGGGUAAAACCUGAGAUAUGUACCUACUUGGCGGCUGUGAAGUCAUAUUUCAGACUUUCGCUUUCAUUUAUCGAAUGCAUCUCAGUGGUUCCCAAAUGGGCACGUAUCUUUUUGUUUCAAUUGUGUGGUAAAGUUUUUUCAUCGUUUUUUAUUAAUUUUUGUAAUGGGAAAUGCACUUUAUUUUAGUGUUUGUGAUAUUAGUAUACAUGCAGUGAGAAAUUGAGAAUUUUAAAAUUUAUUUUAUUUUUACCGAAUGCGAUAGUUUACUAUCAUAGAUUGGUAAAAAUUUUACGUGAUUCUUGUACGUCAGAACAUUGGAGGUUGAUUUUACCUGACCAUAGAGAAGUUGAUUUUUUUAAUCCAUCGUAUUUUCGUAAUUUCAUGUUUUUUUUUUUGUUCGUUGUGUUUUUCCGUUUUUUUAUAUAUAUUACUAUACUGCCUAUAAACGCUUAUCAGUUCCAUAUUUGCUGGGUUUCCUAUUAAUAUGGGACAGUUAUGCGAUCAUAUUCAGUAUAACUGUGAAACUGACGUGUCUUCACAUGUAUGUGUUAAAGGAGUUAUGAAAAGUACAAGUAAACAAGUGAAUCAACCUAUUGAUGAGUAAAAUUAUAGAAUAUGUGUGUUGAAUUGUCACCCACAUCAAAUUUACCUGGAAUCGUUGGUAAAUUCAUUUAACCAGCAAAAUUACCAGCCCUUAUUAAUGUAUAUUUUUUUUCGAAAUUGUAACUUUUUAAAGCUUACCAUUAGAAUCCUCGGCAAAAAAUAGAAUGGUAAGUGUAUAUAAUUUUGAUAGUGAGAAAGAAGAACUAACUGGGCAUCAUUUUAGUUUAGGUAGAAGCUGCGAUAGAUAAAUAUUGAGGGGCAUUCUAGAAUAAAAUUUGUAAUCAAAAUCAAUCAUUGGUAGUUAUUUUUUCUCCCCAUUUGACGAAACACUCAGCAACAAAAAUUGCUGUAUGUCGCCAAAAUUCUACUGAAUGUCAACCCAGAAUUGUUGAUUACCGUAAAACUUCGGAAAAUUGCGUAGAAAGUCAACAAUUCGUUUUGCUGAAUGCAUUCAGCUUAGUCAUUAUUUCUUUGGCUCUCGCCUUAGACGAUCCUUGGUGUUGGGUUCGUGAGAUUUCAGAAUAUAAGUUUCUGUACUCACUCAUAGUGUUUAAUUGAUAGAGAAAUUGCACUCACAUUCGUUGUUUACCACAGUUCCCAGUCUUAUUCGAUCCAAAGGCGGAUCAUUCUAACUGUCACCUGUCACAGUCGCCAUAUAAAAUGAUAGGAUGAAAUUCACGGUGUCUUAUGGUAGAAGAAUGUUAUGCUAACUGAUAUUUAGUUUUGAGUGACCAAUCAAAUUAAAGUUUCAGCUCUCCACUUUAAUUUGGGUGCUAUGAGCGAGGGUUGCUUUUUUAUCACAAACAUCUUCGUUUACAUUCACCCGAUAUAUCGAUUUUCCUCGUGAUUUGUUCCAGAAAUUAAUAAAAUCUAGCUUUUAGAACACUAUUUUUUACAGAUACCGUAACAUCAAUUGGAUGUAGGUAUACAUACCUACGUUAGCGAAAAAAAAACAAUGUAGCAAACUAUCAAAACCUGUCCAUCUGAUCCAGAUUUGCUUGCACGCCUUUUUAUGCUUUUGUGUUUUGAUGAUCCUCUAAAAUAAAGUUUGCAGUUGUUCUUAAUUUUAUAACAUAGAUGCCUGCCGGCUAAACGUAGCCGUAUAUUUAACAAUAUCUAAUUUUUAAAGGUGAUGUUUCUACAUAUGAAUAUCAAAGUUAUCAUGUAAGUAGCAAAAUGACAAAAAACUUAUGUCGAGCACAACUGUUUGUUUGGAGGAGUUGUCUUGAAAGGAAGUACAAUUUCAAAAAGAUUAGUUCGAUCCAGUUUUUCUUUUGUAAUAUAUACAAUGUAAGUUUAUCGUUACGGUCACAUAUUAUUAUAUUUGGUUUCAAUUCCAAGCAGCUAAAACAAUGAUGCAAUGCAUUUUUUUAUGUUCACUUUGUGCACAAAAGUUCUUAUAUUUUUGUUCUUCAUUUUCAAUGAAUCUUUUUAGAAUUAAAUAUAAAAAAUAAAAUAAAUUGUAAAAAAAUGUGAGAAUAUAAAAA